AUCUGCAACCAACAAAGAUCCAAGAACAAUAAGUAGAGAUGGUGACCUGAGAAAUCAUAGUAGAUCAAAGGAGGAAGGCUAGAACAAGAAGUUAGCCAACUAGACUGGGAUCUGGAAGUAGGAGCAGCACUAGAAGAAACAGCAGAGACGGCAAAAGAAGAAAGAGCAAAGCUUGUAUGAGAAUCCUACUGCACCAAGUGAGGAGAGCAAUGGUGAUGGCUACAACUACACAGGGGACCUAGACGUGGAUCCAUCUAGUGCUAUGUACGAUCUGGAUGCCACAUAUGGGGGUUGGGAUGAAUAAGUAACUAUGACCUAGCUAUGUAAUCCAGGAACUAUUUUAUCAUCAUCUAUCUGGUACUUCUAGUUGGAACUCCGGUGUUAGGAGAUGUAAUAAUUUGGCGAACAUGUGAGAAGCCUACUUGAGACUUUUAGCCCUGCGUGGCAUGGUAUUGUAAUAUAAAGGACCAUCUCUAACUA